CUCCGGAACUUUCCCGCUUCAGCGGCGGCGUCUGGGCGGGCUCCGGGGGGUCCGGGCCAGGUCUCUGGAGAGCUGGGUGUCUGCGCGCCGUGCGCACCGGGCAUGGAGAGGUGCCCCGCGGGGAUGACGGGCUUCGAUUCGGGGUAACGGGCGCGCAGCCGGCGACAGUCGGCCCUGCCCGGCCUUGCCCAUCCAUGUGGCCCGGAACCCGCAGCCGCGUUCUGCCCGCCGGGGCCUGUCCCCGCACCGUGCCUGCAGCAUUUCAGCUGCGUCCCGGACGUUGCUAGUUGGUCCUUUUCGUGUCAGGGUGUCAUUCGAGUGAUCUAGCCGUCGAUGCCCGCCUCUGCCCUGGAGCCGCCGCCCCUCGAGCAGCAUUGAGUGACGCGGCCCUUACUGCCCGCCCGAGGCCUCUUUAGGGACAGUGGUUCUGACAGUUCUAGGACAGGCCGCCCGCGUUUGUCACGAUCUAAGGGCCGGGCGCGGUGCUCACGCUUGUAAUCCCAGCACUUUGGGAGGCCAAGGUGGGCGAAUCACCUGAGGUCGGGAAUUCGAGACCAGGUUGGGCAACACGGUGAAACUCCCUCUACUAAAAAUACAAAAAUUAGCUGGGCGUGGCUGCGCACGCCUGUAAUCCCAGCUACUCGGGAGGCUGAGGCUGCAGUGAGCCGAGAUCGCGCCACUGCACUCCAGCCUGGGCGACAGAGCCAGACCCUGUCUCAAAAAAAUGAAAAAAAUAAAGUAGAUGAGGCUGAGACAGUGCUGGGUUCAGUGGGCGGAGGGCACAGCUUCCUGUGCCUGGGGUUGGGGACAUGGGGACAGGAGGGCAUAGAGAAGACAGGUGCCAGCAGCCUCCUGCCCGACUUACUGCGGCUUCAUGAGCACAAGCAGCAGCCCUGGUGAGCCGGCCUGGCCCCUCCCAGGAUGGGUUAGGGUUUUAUUUUAUUUUGUGAGAUGAGGUCUUGCUCU
rnacentral:lncRNA from 1 species